rnacentral:rRNA from 1 species
UACGUAGGGUGCGAGCGUUGUCCGGAAUUAUUGGGCGUAAAGGGCUCGUAGGCGGUUUGUCGCGUCGGGAGUGAAAUCAUCUGGCUUAACUGGGUGCUUGCUUUCGAUACGGGCAGACUAGAGGUAUGCAGGGGAGAACGGAAUUCCUGGUGUAGCGGUGGAAUGCGCAGAUAUCAGGAGGAACACCGGUGGCGAAGGCGGUUCUCUGGGCAUUACCUGACGCUGAGGAGCGAAAGCAUGGGGAGCGAACAGG